rnacentral:other from 1 species
UUGCCCCUGCGGUGUUCGUGAUCGACAGAGCGUCCUGAGCCAACACAAAAAAGAAGGGAGUUUCCGCUGGUUCCGGUGUGCGCGUCGGUUGUCCGAAGCGCCUGAGGGAACUACGAGACGCCCACUUAGCUGAAUCGGUUCAAGACCGACUGCCGACACGGCACAAUGCGGGGGCUGC